rnacentral:rRNA from 1 species
AACGUAGGGGGCGAGCGUUGCCCGGAUUCACUGGGCGUAAAGCGGGUGUAGGCGAUCCGUUAAGUCGGAUGUGAAAUCUCCGAGCUCAACUCGGAAACUGCAUCCGAUACUGUCGGACUUGAGGACGGUAGAGGUCGGUGGAAUGCGCGGUGUACCGGUGAAAUGGGCAGAUAUCGCGCAGAACACCAGUGGCGAAGGCGGCCGACUGGGCCGCUCCUGACGCUGAGACCCGAAAGCCAGGGUAGCGAACCGG